GAUGAACGCUGGCGGCGUGCCUAAUACAUGCAAGUCGAGCGAACGGACGAGAAGCUUGCUUUUCUGAUGUUAGCGGCGGACGGGUGAGUAACACGUGGAUAACCUACCUAUAAGACUGGGAUAACUUCGGGAAACCGGAGCUAAUACCGGAUAAUAUUUUGAACCGCAUGGUUCAAAAGUGAAAGACGGUCUUGCUGUCACUUAUAGAUGGAUCCGCGCUGCAUUAGCUAGUUGGUAUGGUAACGGCUUACCAAGGCAACGAUGCAUAGCCGACCUGAGAGGGUGAUCGGCCACACUGGAACUGAGACACGGUCCAGACUCCUACGGGAGGCAGCAGUAGGGAAUCUUCCGCAAAGGGCGAAAGCCUGACGGAGCAACGCCGCGUGAGUGAUGAAGGUCUUCGGAUCGUAAAACUCUGUUAUUAGGGAAGAACAUAUGUGUAAGUAACUGUGCACAUCUUGACGGUACCUAAUCAGAAAGCCACGGCUAACUACGUG
rnacentral:rRNA from 1 species